rnacentral:rRNA from 1 species
AUACGUAGGGUGCAAGCGUUAAUCGGAAUUACUGGGCGUAAAGCGUGCGCAGGGCGGUUUUGUAAGACAGGCGUGAAAUCCCCGGGCUCAACCUGGGAAUUGCGCUUGUGACUGCAAGGCUAGAGUACGGCAGAGGGGGAUGGAAUUCCGCGUGUAGCAGUGAAAUGCGUAGAUAUGCGGAGGAACACCGAUGGCGAAGGCAAUCCCCUGGGCCUGUACUGACGCUCAUGCACGAAAGCGGUGGGGAGC